rnacentral:rRNA from 1 species
CCGCGUGUGUGAAGAAGGCCUUCGGGUUGUAAAGCACUUUCAGUAGGGAGGAAGGUAGUGUAGUUAACACCUGCACUAUUUGACGUUACCUACAGAAGAAGCACCGGCUAACUCCGUGCCAGCAGCCGCGGUAAUACGGAGGGUGCGAGCGUUAAUCGGAAUUACUGGGCGUAAAGCGCAUGCAGGCGGCCUGUUAAGUCAGAUGUGAAAAGCCCGGGGCUUAACCUCGGAAUUGCAUUUGAAACUGGCAGGCUAGAGUCUUGUAGAGGGGGUAGAAUUUCAGGUGUAGCGGUGAAAUGCGUAGAGAUCUGAAGGAAUACCAGUGGCGAAGGCGGCCCCCUGGACAAAGACUGACGCUCAGAUGCGAAAGCGUGGGGAGCAAACAGGAUUAGAUACCCUGGUAG